UGGGGAAUAUUGCGCAAUGGGGGAAACCCUGACGCAGCGACGCCGCGUGUGGGAAGAAGGCCUUCGGGUCGUAAACCACUGUCAAGAGGGAAGAAACGCAUGGGUUCGAAUAGGGCCUGUGCCUGACGGUACCUCUGGAGGAAGCACCGGCUAACUCCGUGCCAGCAGCCGCGGUAAUACGGAGGGUGCAAGCGUUAAUCGGCAUCACUGGGCGUAAAGCGCACGUAGGCGGUUUUGCAAGUCAGGCGUGAAAUCCCUUGGCUCAACCGAGGAAUUGCGUUUGAAACUGCAGGACUGGAGUACUGGAGAGGGUGGCGGAAUUCCCGGUGUAGGAGUGAAAUCCGUAGAUAUCGGGAGGAACACCAGUGGCGAAGGCGGCCACCUGGACAGAUACUGACGCUGAGGUGCGAAAGCGUGGGGAGCAAACA
rnacentral:rRNA from 1 species